rnacentral:rRNA from 1 species
CACUCCUACGGGAGGCAGCAGUGGGGAAUAUUGGACAAUGGGCGCAAGCCUGAUCCAGCCAUGCCGCGUGAGUGAUGAAGGCCCUAGGGUUGUAAAGCUCUUUCACCGGAGAAGAUAAUGACGGUAUCCGGAGAAGAAGCCCCGGCUAACUUCGUGCCAGCAGCCGCGGUAAUACGAAGGGGGCUAGCGUUGUUCGGAAUUACUGGGCGUAAAGCGCACGUAGGCGGAUCGAUCAGUCAGGGGUGAAAUCCCAGGGCUCAACCCUGGAACUGCCUUUGAUACUGUCGAUCUGGAGUAUGGAAGAGGUGAGUGGAAUUCCGAGUGUAGAGGUGUAAUUCGUAGAUAUUCGGAGGAACACCAGUGGCGAAGGCGGCUCACUGGUCCAUUACUGACGCUGAGGUGCGAAAGCGUGGGGAGCAAACAGGAUUAGAAACCCCGGUAGUCCCAUGA